rnacentral:rRNA from 1 species
UACGUAGGUGGCAAGCGUUGUCCGGAUUUACUGGGCGUAAAGAGCGCGCAGGCGGUCGUUCAAGUCGCGUGUGAAAGCCCCCGGCUCAACUGGGGAGGGUCACGCGAUACUGAUCGACUCGAAGGCAGGAGAGGGUAGUGGAAUUCCCGGUGUAGUGGUGAAAUGCGUAGAUAUCGGGAGGAACACCAGUGGCGAAGGCGGAGACCUGGGCCGAUACUGACGCUGAGGAGCGAAAGCGUGGGGAGCGAACAGG